rnacentral:rRNA from 1 species
GAUGAACGCUGGCGGCGUGCCUAAUACAUGCAAGUCGAACGAGGUGCCUUUGUAGCAAUACGAAGGUAUCCUAGUGGCGAACGGGUGAGUAACGCGUUGGUGACCUACCCCAAAGUGUGGGAUAACAGAUCGAAAGAUCUGCUAAUACCGCAUGUGGUCUUCGGAUUUAGAAACUGAUGACUAAAGGAGCAAUUCGCUUUGGGAGGGACCUGCGUCCCAUCAGCUAGUUGGUGAGGUAAUGGCUCACCAAGGCUACGACGGGUAGGGGACCUGAGAGGGUGGCCCCCCACAAUGGAACUGAAACACGGUCCAUACACCUACGGGUGGCAGCAGUAGGGAUAUUGCACAAUGGGCGAAAGCCUGAUGCAGCAACGCCGCGUGUGCGAUGAAGAUCUUCGGGUCGUAAACUCCUGUCGAAUGGGACGAAUGGCCCGGCUAUGAAUAAUAGUCGGGAAUGACGGUACCGUGAGAGGGUAAG